GAUGAACGCUGGCGGCGUGCCUAAUACAUGCGAGUCGAGCGAACAGAUGAGGAGCUUGCUCCUCUGACGUUAGCGGCGGACGGGUGAGUAACACGUGGAUAACCUACCUAUAAGACUGGGAUAACUUCAGGAAACCGGAGCUAAUACCGGAUAAUAUAUUGAACCGCAUGGUUCAAUAGUGAAAGACGGUUUUGCUGUCACUUAUAGAUGGAUCCGCGCCGCAUUAGCUAGUUGGUAAGGUAACGGCUUACCAAGGCAACGAUGCGUAGCCGACCUGAGAGGGUGAUCGGCCACACUGGAACUGAGACACGGUCCAGACUCCUACGGGAGGCAGCAGUAGGGAAUCUUCCGCAAUGGGCGAAAGCCUGACGGAGCAACGCCGCGUGAGUGAUGAAGGUCUUCGGAUCGUAAAACUCUGUUAUUAGGGAAGAACAAAUGUGUAAGUAACUAUGCACGUCUUGACGGUACCUAAUCAGAAAGCCACGGCUAACUACGUG
rnacentral:rRNA from 1 species